rnacentral:snRNA from 1 species
AAAAAUUCUUAGCCUUUUGGCUGAGUUCACAUUUAAUAUCUGUUCUUACCAGUUUAACAUCUGAUAUGUCUUAUUUCCAAAGUCCUGUGUGUAUAGGGGCUUAGUAACU